AACGUAGGUACCGAGCGUUAUCCGGAUUUACUGGGCGUAAAGCGUGUUCAGGCGGCCUGGCAAGUCGGGCAUGAAAUCUCUCGGCUCAACCGAGAGAGGCUGUCCGAUACUGCUGGGCUUGAGGACGGUAGAGGGUGGUGGAAUUCCGCGUGUAGUGGUGAAAUGCGUAGAUAUGCGGAGGAACACCAGUGGCGAAGGCGGCCACCUGGACCGUCCCUGACGCUCAAACACGAAAUCUAGGGUAGCGAACGGG
rnacentral:rRNA from 1 species